rnacentral:rRNA from 1 species
AGGACGAACGCUGGCGGCGCGCUUAACACAUGCAAGUCGAGCGAGAACCUGUCCUUCGGGACAGGGGACAGCGGCGAACGGGUGAGUAACACGUGGGUAAUCAACCCUUGGCACUGGGAUAGCCCGAGGAAACUCGGAUUAAUACCGGAUGGCCCAACAGCUCUUAGGGGCGGUUGGAAAAGGUAGCUUCGGCCUCCGGCCAGGGACGAGCCCGCGGCGGAUUAGCUUGUUGGUGGGGUAAUGGCCUACCAAGGCGACGAUCCGUAGCUGGUCUGAGAGGACGAUCAGCCACACUGGGACUGAGACACGGCCCAGACUCCUACGGGAGGCAGCAGUGGGGAAUCUUGCACAAUGGGCGAAAGCCUGAUGCAGCGACGCCGCGUGAGGGAGAAGGCUUUCGGGUUGUAAACCUCUUUCAGGAGGGACGAAGCUACUCGGGUUAAUAGCCCAGAGGGUGACGGUACCUCCAGAAGAAGCCCCGGCUAACUACGUGCCAGCAGCCGCGGU